rnacentral:rRNA from 1 species
UGGGGAAUAUUGGACAAUGGGCGCAAGCCUGAUCCAGCCAUGCCGCGUGAGUGAUGAAGGCCCUAGGGUUGUAAAGCUCUUUCAGUGGGGACGAUAAUGACGGUACCCACAGAAGAAGCCCCGGCUAACUUCGUGCCAGCAGCCGCGGUAAUACGAAGGGGGCUAGCGUUGUUCGGAAUUACUGGGCGUAAAGCGCACGUAGGCGGAUAUUUAAGUCAGGGGUGAAAUCCCGGGGCUCAACCCCGGAACGGCCUCUGAUACUGGGUAUCUUGAGUUCGGAAGAGGUAAGUGGAAUUGCGAGUGUAGAGGUGAAAUUCGUAGAUAUUCGCAGGAACACCAGUGGCGAAGGCGGCUUACUGGUCCGAUACUGACGCUGAGGUGCGAAAGCGUGGGGAGCAAACAGG